rnacentral:rRNA from 1 species
UACGAAGGGGGCUAGCGUUGUUCGGAAUCACUGGGCGUAAAGGGCGCGUAGGCGGCCGCUCAAGUCGGGGGUGAAAGCCUGUGGCUUAACCACAGAAUUGCCUUCGAUACUGUUUGGCUUGAGACCGGAAGAGGUGAGUGGAACUGCGAGUGUAGAGGUGAAAUUCGUAGAUAUUCGCAAGAACACCAGUGGCGAAGGCGGCUCACUGGUCCGGUUCUGACGCUGAGGCGCGAAAGCGUGGGGAGCGAACAGG